rnacentral:tRNA from 1 species
GCUUAAAUAGUUUAAAUAAAAUGUUGGUUUGUGGAUCGAAAGAUAUAAUUUUUUAUUUUAGGCA